GUGCCAGCAGCCGCGGUAAUACGAAGGGGGCUAGCGUUGUUCGGAAUCACUGGGCGUAAAGCGCACGCAGGCGGACUGAUAAGUCGGGGGUGAAAUCCCGAGGCUCAACCUCGGAAUUGCCUUCGAUACUGUUAGUCUUGAGUCCGGGAGAGGUGAGUGGAAUUCCUAGUGUAGAGGUGAAAUUCGUAGAUAUUAGGAAGAACACCAGUGGCGAAGGCGGCUCACUGGCCCGGUACUGACGCUCAUGUGCGAAAGCGUGGGGAGCAAACAGGAUUAGAUACCCGCGUAGUCC
rnacentral:rRNA from 1 species